UGGUUUCUAAGUCUUAUUCAGUGAGCACGUGUUCCUUUUUUUAAUUAGAGAAAACUUGACAGUAGCCCCUUUUUGUGUUUCACAGAGGAGCUAACAUUCCUUCUGUACCUGUAGUUCAUGCGGGAGAUGGCAGGGGCCUGGCACAUGACGGUGGAGCAGAAAUUUGGCCUGUUUUCUGCUGAGAUAAAGGAAGCAGACCCCCUGGCUGCCUCGGAAGCAAGUCAACCCAAACCCUGUCCCCCCGAAGUGACCCCCCACUACAUCUGGAUCGACUUCCUGGUGCAGCGGUUUGAGAUCGCCAAGUACUGCAGCUCUGACCAAGUGGAGAUCUUCUCCAGCCUGCUGCAGCGCUCCAUGUCCCUGAACAUCGGCGGGGCCAAGGGGAGCAUGAACCGGCACGUGGCGGCCAUCGGGCCCCGCUUCAAGCUGCUGACCCUGGGGCUGUCCCUCCUGCAUGCCGACGUGGUUCCAAAUGCAACCAUCCGCAAUGUGCUUCGCGAGAAGAUCUACUCCACUGCCUUUGACUACUUCAGCUGUCCCCCAAAGUUCCCUACUCAAGGAGAGAAGCGGCUGCGUGAAGACAUAAGCAUCAUGAUUAAAUUUUGGACCGCCAUGUUCUCAGAUAAGAAGUACCUGACCGCCAGCCAGCUUGUUCCCCCAGAUAAUCAGGACACCCGGAGCAACCUGGACAUAACUGUCGGCUCUCGGCAACAAGCCACCCAAGGCUGGAUCAACACAUACCCCCUGUCCAGCGGCAUGUCCACCAUCUCCAAGAAAUCAGGCAUGUCUAAGAAAACCAACCGGGGCUCCCAGCUGCACAAAUACUACAUGAAGCGCAGGACGCUGCUGCUGUCCCUGCUGGCCACUGAGAUCGAGCGUCUCAUCACAUGGUACAACCCGCUGUCAGCCCCGGAACUGGAACUAGACCAGGCCGGAGAGAACAGCGUGGCCAACUGGAGAUCUAAGUACAUCAGCCUGAGUGAGAAGCAGUGGAAGGACAACGUGAACCUCGCCUGGAGCAUCUCUCCCUACCUGGCCGUGCAGCUGCCUGCCAGGUUUAAGAACACAGAAGCCAUUGGGAACGAAGUGACCCGUCUCGUUCGGUUGGACCCGGGAGCUGUUAGUGAUGUGCCUGAAGCAAUCAAGUUCCUGGUCACCUGGCACACCAUCGACGCCGAUGCUCCAGAGCUCAGCCAUGUGCUGUGCUGGGCGCCCACGGACCCACCCACAGGCCUCUCCUACUUCUCCAGCAUGUACCCGCCGCACCCUCUCACGGCGCAGUACGGGGUGAAAGUCCUGCGGUCCUUCCCUCCGGACGCCAUCCUCUUCUACAUCCCCCAGAUUGUGCAGGCCCUCAGGUACGACAAGAUGGGCUAUGUGCGGGAGUAUAUUCUGUGGGCAGCGUCUAAAUCCCAGCUUCUGGCACACCAGUUCAUCUGGAACAUGAAGACUAACAUUUAUCUAGAUGAAGAGGGCCACCAGAAAGACCCUGACAUCGGCGACCUCCUGGAGCAGUUGGUAGAGGAGAUCACAAGCUCCUUGUCCGGCCCAGCGAAGGACUUUUACCAGCGGGAGUUUGAUUUCUUUAACAAGAUCACCAACGUGUCGGCUAUCAUCAAGCCCUACCCUAAAGGCGACGAGAGAAAGAAGGCUUGUCUGUCGGCCCUGUCUGAAGUGAAGGUGCAGCCGGGCUGCUACCUGCCCAGCAACCCCGAGGCCAUUGUGCUGGACAUCGACUACAAGUCUGGGACCCCGAUGCAGAGUGCUGCAAAAGCCCCAUAUCUGGCCAAGUUCAAGGUGAAGCGAUGUGGAGUUAGUGAACUUGAAAAAGAAGGUCUGCGGUGCCGCUCAGACUCCGAGGAUGAGUGCAGCACGCAGGAGGCCAACGGCCAGAAGAUUUCCUGGCAGGCAGCCAUCUUCAAAGUGGGAGACGACUGCCGGCAGGACAUGCUGGCCCUGCAGAUCAUCGACCUCUUCAAGAACAUCUUCCAGCUGGUCGGCCUGGACCUCUUUGUUUUUCCCUACCGCGUGGUGGCCACUGCCCCUGGGUGUGGGGUGAUCGAGUGCAUCCCCGACUGCACCUCCCGGGACCAGCUGGGCCGCCAGACAGACUUCGGCAUGUACGACUACUUCACACGCCAGUACGGGGAUGAGUCCACCCUGGCCUUCCAGCAGGCCCGCUACAACUUCAUCCGAAGCAUGGCCGCCUACAGCCUCCUGCUGUUCCUGCUGCAGAUCAAGGACAGACACAACGGCAACAUUAUGCUGGACAAGAAGGGCCAUAUCAUCCACAUCGACUUUGGCUUCAUGUUUGAAAGCUCGCCGGGCGGCAAUCUCGGCUGGGAACCCGACAUCAAGCUGACGGAUGAGAUGGUGAUGAUCAUGGGGGGCAAGAUGGAGGCCACACCCUUCAAGUGGUUCAUGGAGAUGUGUGUCCGAGGCUACCUGGCUGUGCGGCCCUACAUGGACGCGGUCGUCUCCCUGGUCACUCUCAUGUUGGACACGGGCCUGCCCUGUUUUCGCGGCCAGACAAUCAAGCUCUUGAAGCACAGGUUUAGCCCCAACAUGACUGAGCGCGAGGCUGCAAAUUUCAUCAUGAAGGUCAUCCAGAGCUGCUUCCUCAGCAACAGGAGCCGGACCUACGACAUGAUCCAGUACUAUCAGAAUGACAUCCCCUACUGAGGAGGGGACCUUUGAGGGCCUCUGCCCCAUGUGCCCUCGAAGCUGUCCCACAAUCAUGGAGCCCUGCGACCUCCCCGCCCUGCCGCCACAUGCAGUGGAGGAGAGGCCUGUGGCCCAAAGAACCUGGUAGCGCCUCCUGGGGCAGCACGUGGGUGGCGCAGCCUUGGUAACGCCAUGGACUGCAGCGACAAUCAGUGGAUGGUGCUGUCUAUGCACAGGUGUGAGUCCUCUGUUUGCACUGGACAUAUUCCCUACCUGUUUUAUUUCAUAGGUACAUGAAGUAUUGUGUAUAAAAAAAGAGAUAAGAUUUAACCAACAUCAACAAAAUAAAAACCCAAAAUAGU
rnacentral:sRNA from 1 species